GUGGGGAAUAUUGGACAAUGGGGGGAACCCUGAUCCAGCCAUGCCGCGUGUGUGAAGAAGGCCUUUUGGUUGUAAAGCACUUUAAGCGAGGAGGAGGCUACCGAGAUUAAUACUCUUGGAUAGUGGACGUUACUCGCAGAAUAAGCACCGGCUAACUCUGUGCCAGCAGCCGCGGUAAUACAGAGGGUGCAAGCGUUAAUCGGAUUUACUUGGCGUAAAGCGCGCGUAGGUGGCCAAUUAAGUCAAAUGUGAAAUCCCCGAGCUUAACUUGGGAAUUGCAUUCGAUACUGGUUGGCUAGAGUAUGGGAGAGGAUGGUAGAAUUCCAGGUGUAGCGGUGAAAUGCGUAGAGAUCUGGAGGAAUACCGAUGGCGAAGGCAGCCAUCUGGCCUAAUACUGACACUGAGGUGCGAAAGCAUGGGGAGCAAACAGGAUUAGAAACCCUUGUAGUCC
rnacentral:rRNA from 1 species